rnacentral:lncRNA from 1 species
GCUCUGUUUUUUUAUAAGAUAUAUUGUCAUUGAAUACCUCAUAAAUCAAAAGUAUUUUGUUAAAAUUUUUGUUGACAGCGAUAUAAGAGUUGACACAAAUGACCACAGGAGAAGAGCCGUUAAGGCAACGAUUCUUCGGAAUUUUUCUUUUUUUUUCUUUUUUUUUUCAUUUCCAUUUUUCUUAUUCAAAAGACAAAGACUUUCAAAUGUUGACCUUCAAAUUGUUCUUCACUGCUCACGGUAUCAUAGUUUCAAUAUUC